rnacentral:lncRNA from 1 species
CCCCAGUCAAACUCUUCUCUCUCUGAUUUCCCUCUAUUUGUUUCCUUUCUGCUUUCUAGUGAAAUGCAGGAAUAUUGUAUUUUUCUUUUUUAAAAGUUUUUAAUUUGUGGUAAUAUAUACAUAACCUAAAAUUUGCCAUUUUGACCAUUUGAAGUUACUAAGUCAGAGGCAUUAAUUACGUUCACAAUGUGGGCAAGCAUCACCAGUUUCCAGAAUUUUUCAUCACCCCAAACAGAAACUCUGCACCUACUAAGCAGUAACUCCCCAUUCUCCCCUCUCUCCAGCCCUGGUCACUUCUAAUCUACUUUCCAUCUCUUUGAAUUUUCCUAUUACAGGCAUUUUAUAUACACGGAAUCAUAUAACAUUUGCCCUUUCGUUACUGGCUUCUUUCACUUAGCCUAAUGUUUUCAAGGUUCAUCCAUGUGGAGGCAUGUCUCAGAACUUCAUUCCUUUUUUAUGGGCAAAUAAUAUUCCAUCGUAUGGAUAUACCACACCUUGUUUAUCCAUUCCUCUGUUGAUGGCCGCUUGGGUUGUUUCCACCUUUCGGCUGUUGUGAAUGCUGCUGCUGUGAACGCUGGUGUAUGGCCUUCUGUUCCAGUCUCUGUUCUCAAUCCUUUCGGGUAGAUGCCUAGGACUAGAAUUGCUAGGCCAUAUGGUAAUUAUGUUUCACUUUUCAAGGCAGCACCGAACUUCUCUCCAUAGCAGCUGCACGACCUUACAUUCCAAUCGGCAAGGCACAGGUUUCCGAUUUCUCAAGAUCCUUGUGAACACUUGUUAUUUUCCCUUUUUUUAAAUUAUAGCCACUAAUAGGUGUGAUUCUGCAUCUGUGACUUUGAUUUGCACUUACCUAAUGGCUGAUGAUGUUGAGUACUUUUCCAUGUGCUUAUUGGCUGCUUGUAUAUCUCCUCUGGAGAAAUAUCUAUUCAAGUCCUCUGCCCAUUUUUAAAUUGGGUUGUCCUGUUGUUCUUGAGUUGUAGGAGUUCUUUAUAUAUUCUGCAUGUUAUAAAAGUCUAUUCUUGGGAGCAGCACAAACGCAAGGUGCCCAGGAUUGACCAGAACGGCAUCAAGCCCAGUCACCUUCCCCAUCGUCUGAGGCCGACUGUGCACCCCAGCCUGGCAGGCUCCGUGACUCUGAGUUAAGAAUACUCAUAGCUGGCUUGUCUCCACUGCUCACUGUCCGCUGGCGCCCUGUCUGAGCUCAUUCAAUCUCUCAGCAUCCUUGGGGCAUGCCUCUUCGGGCUACGAACCUCCCCCAGCGCUGCCUCCACCUGUGGGAGGUCAGAAUGAAUGCUGAGCUUUGAGCAGCAGACAGAAUUGCCAGCUCCCGGCACAUUCGCGUUGCACAGCAAUGACCCUCAUCAUGGACAACACCGCCUGCAGGCUGACUCUCUUCCAGGCUUUGGGUCAAGUUCUUCCCACGCAUUAUCCUAUUUAAUAAAAAGCGUUGAUACAAUAGCUCACGCUUAAUGGGCACUUACUAUGCCAAGUGCUCACGUGGACUAUCUCACAACCCAUAUGGAAGCAGGCACUACUGUUAUCUUUCUCAUCUCACAGAUGAAGAAACUGAGGCACAGAGAAGUGAGGUUAAUUUGCCCAAGAUCAUAUAUAGUAAGUAGCGCAGCUGAACCCACACAUUCUGGCUCCAGAGUCCAGCCUCCUGGAGGGGCUGAGAGUGAAUGACUUGCCCAAACUGUGAGGCUACCAAAUGCUGUGCCAGGGACUGGAAGCCAGGGCUAUUGGCUGCAGGGUCAUUUCUGUUCACUGUGCCAUGUUUCUAAUGACCUUAAAUCCUGAUUUCCUGUCUACCAUACCCUGUUGCAUCCAUGCCCCAAAUACCUGCUCUGCAGAGCCAGGACUGUGAUCACCAUCUCUCCUGCUCACAGACCUUCAGUGGCUCCCAGGUGCCCACAGGGUCAAAUCCGGACUCUUGGAGUGACAUUCAAGAUCCUCAAAGACCAGGCUGAUCUUGCAUCACCCCGAUUUCCUAGCUUGUCUUGUGCACUCAUAUCUCUAACCAGAUGAACUACUCAUUGUUCCUUGCUCCUCCUUAGUGCAAGGGUCAGACCUGGCACGCAGGGCCACACACAGCCCUCAGACGCAUUCCUCUGGCAAACACCGUAUUUUAUGUUUAAUAUCAGUAUGGGAUCAUGGUUUCUUCUUUUUUCCCCCCUAAGGAAUUAUAAUUUGUUAAUAUCAUUAUUUACUUUAAUGUUCAGAUUGUCCCAGAUUCAGCCAGUAGGAACCCCUCAACCUGGCUUUUGUGUCUUUUAACAAGUCCCAUCAUUCGUUUGACAUUUCCUUACUUUCUGGCUCAAUAAGACGUUCCAGGCUCACGUUCCUUGCCCCAGCCCCGAGACUCAGUGAUUUCUCCAAGAACACUUGGUUCCUUUUAGUGGAGAAUGGCAGUUAGGAAGUAAGAUCUGGGUGCUAGGUGCUUGUUGCUCUAGGGGUGUCAUUUCUUGUAGGCUCUCUUGGCACACAGAACCAGGAAGUCUAUUUACACAGAGUGUUUAUAACUGAGAAAUUUCACUUACAAAUCUGGACUUCUAACUCCUCUUCAGAAACCUGGAUAUCAGAUCACAAUCAGCCAGGAAACUGGCAACAAUUAGCAGGGUGGGGGUUCAACAGUAUUUGUUUUCUCACUAAAGUACUUAUUGAAUGCCUACUGUGAGCCAGGUACGGUCAUACACCACGUAACCACGGGG